CUGCUGUUUUAACAAUUUACUCGGAUUACAGUGUUAGCCAGAGUAUCCCUGUUAUUAGUUAAAGAAAAUUAGAUUAUUACAUAACAAUAUCUUGUACUAGUGUUUGCAAGUAGCUAAAAUUCAUGCCCAUAAAACAUAUAAGACUGUCUUUUGAAUUUACAUGUAAAAUUUGUCACUUGAAGUUAAGCAGACAUCAAUCAAUCAGUGCUUCGUAUAAAGCUUUUGAGACUGACAUUUUGAAUUGUGUAGAUUUUAAAUAUUUGUUUUUUUUUUAAAUAUAAAUCUCUGGAAACUUAAGUCUUGUUGGUGUUAUGAAUUAUUUGUUUGGUAACACAAGAUGAUUCAACUUUGCAUUAAACUUAUUUCAUAGGCAAGGAUUUACAAUGAUAUUUUAUUUAUUCAUUGUGGAAUUCAAAAUUUCUGUGAAAAUAAUGUGUCCAUUCUCACAUUAUGAUUUAACUAAAUCCUGAAUUCAUGACGAUUUAACUGGUGAAUUCCUGACUACUUUCAAAUUGAACAGCUAAGCCUUGAAUACCCUGAAAAAUACUUCCACAUUUACAUUUUCUGGUCACACUAUCACUUAUGAUAAAUAAGCGUUCUUUUACUUAAGUGGUCCCAUACCAUAUGAGCCUUAUUAAAGUAACCCUAACUUGUGCCUAACACAAUUUCUCAAACAUCCCUCUUAACGUAAAACAAAUCCUCAAAAUCUUCAGUCCUCACUUUAAGCCUAAACUGAACCCUAAGGGAGUAUCCAGGAUUCUUGAGAAAAGAGAGGCUCCCUUGGCAAGACUCAAUGUUUGCAUUGUAUUUGAAGCUCCAUAAGGGAGGGGGGUCAGAUCCCCCAACCCUUAAUCUGCCUCUGCAACCCUUACAUUUAUGGAAAAUUAAGAAACCAUUAUAAUCAUGAAUAUUGAAAGAACAUAUUGCAAAUAUUUCAGGUGUGUAGACUUUUGAUGAACUUAUGAUUUGCAUUGCUCCAUUACAAUCUCCCAUACAGACAGAGUUAUCGUCCUUUCCUCGAGGAAAGGACGAUAACUCUGUCUGUAUGGGAGAUUGGCUCCAUUAGUGAAGCUUACCUCCCUUGUUUUUAUAUACUUUGUUUUUAAAUUUUACACUGCACAAUUAAAAUACAGUUCAAAUUCUUUUAACAUAUUUCAUAGUUUGCAUUGUAAUUUUAGAAAAUGCCCUCAUAAUAUUGAAAAUUUCCACAGAAUGUUACAUGAAUAGCCUUAUAUAUAUAAUUCCAAUAUGAAUUAGAAAAAAGUUUAACAAUAUUUUUAAGCAGUACAAAAACUAAUUUAAAAAUUGAAUGCUAAUAAUGACUAUACAUGACACUGAUCUAAAAUCUAGACUAAUGACUAGUCUCAUAUUUCCAUUGUUGAAUGCAACUUUAUGAAUUGUGAAUUAAAUCCAUUCAUUUUUGACAUCAUGAUUAUUUCUGUGGAGUCUACAUAAUGGACAAAUCCUUGAUCGAAAUUCAAGUUUAUACGAUUUGAAUAAGAAUGUUCAUGCCAUACUAAAUCUUUGAUGAUGGGAGUAAAAAUGCAGUUGGGUAAAAAAUGUAUAAUGUGAAAUGAACCUUGCACAUCUCCCUAUACAGUUUCGUCUAAUCCUUCGUGAAGUUUAUGUCAAUUUUGUAACGUGGUCCUCAUUUUUGACUAAUGUAGUUUCAUAUUUCCAUUGUUGUACAUAUAUACUAUAUGAAUCGUGAAUUAAAUUUAAAUCCAUUCAUUUUUGACAUCUUGAUUAUUCCUGAGUCUAUAUAAUGGAGAAAUCCUCGAUAGAAACUCAGGUGGAUGCGAUUUAAAUAAGAUAUAUGUACAUUACCAAUGUCUUAUUUACAUGUCAAAAUACAUGUGAACUGGUGAUUGGAAUUUUUAAAUUUUCGGUUCCAAUUGGUGGACCGCAUACAAACUAUUAAGACAUCUUGAUUAUUCCUGAGUCUACAUAUAAAUGGAGAAAUCCUCGAUAAAAACUCAGGUUGAUGCGAUUUGAAUAAGAUUGUUAAUGCCAUAAUUAUUAUUACAAAAAUCUUUGAUCCACAAAGUCAAAAUGCAUCUGUAGAAAUAAUGUAAAAUGCGAAAUGAACCUUGCACAUUUCCCUUUACAGUUUUGUCUAAUCCGUGGUGAUGUUUACAUCAAUUUUGCAAUGUGGUCUUCAUUUUUUAUAUGACAUUUUUCAACUCCUCCAUAUUGUUUUCACAUAGAGCACUAACUUUAGUUAGUUCUUCCUUAAUAAUGUGUAUUUGAUCCUGCUGAAGAGCCACAAUGAUUAUUAAUACCACAAUUAAAAAUUCUUUCAGAAACUUAGGUAUAUUUUCCCCAUCUUGAUAGGAUACUAGAGAAAAAACACCAAGUCCAAAAAUAAAUUGAAAUGCCAUUUUAAUCAGGAAUAGGUACAUUUCCAUUGUCUUAUUUACAUGUCAAAAUACAUGUGAACUGGUGAUUGGAAUUUUUUAAUUUCGGUUCCAAUUGGUGGACCACAUACAAACUAUUAAGACAUUAACAAGUUUACAUCAAUUUUGCAACGUGGUCUUCAUUUUUGAUAUAACAUUUUUCAACUCCUCCGUAUUGUUUUCACAUAGAGCACUAACUUUAGCUAGUUCAUCCUUAAUAAUGUGUAUUUGAUCCUGUUGUUGAGCCACAAUGAUUAUUAAUACCACAAUUAAUAACCCUCUCAGAAAUCUAGGUAUAUUAUCUGCAUUCUGAUAGAAUACUAGAGAAAAAAGACCAAGUACAAAAAUAAUUUCAAAUGCCUUUUUAAUCUCGUAUAUGUACAUUACCAAUGUCUUAUUUACAUGUCAAAAUACAUGUGAACUCGGAAUUUUUAAA
rnacentral:lncRNA from 1 species